rnacentral:rRNA from 1 species
UACAGAGGUCCCGAGCGUUGUUCGGAUUCACUGGGCGUAAAGGGUGCGUAGGUGGCUUGACAAGUUUGAUGUGAAAGCUCAGGGCUUAACCCUGAAAUGGCAUUGAAUACUGUCGAGCUGGAGGUUUGGAGGGGGGACUGGAAUUCUUGGUGUAGCAGUGAAAUGCGUAGAUAUCAAGAGGAACACCAGUGGCGAAGGCGAGUCCCUGGACAACACCUGACACUGAGGCACGAAAGCUAGGGGAGCAAACAGG